rnacentral:rRNA from 1 species
UACGGAGGAUGCGAGCGUUAUCCGGACUUAUUGGGUGUAAAGGGAGCGCAGGCGGGAAGCCAAGUCAGCUGUGAAAACUACGGGCUUAACUUGUAGACUGCAGUUGAAACUGGUUUUCUUGAGUGAAGUAGAGGUUGGCGGAAUUCCGAGUGUAGCGGUGAAAUGCGUAGAUAUUCGGAGGAACACCGGUGGCGAAGGCGGCCAACUGGGCUUUAACUGACGCUGAGGCUCGAAAGUGUGGGGAGCAAACAGG